GAGGAAGAGUAUAGCUCAGUGGUAGAGCAGUUUACUGCAGAUCAGGAGGACACCAGUUUAAAUUUGGGUGCCCUCU